AGCAGCCGCGGUAAUUCCAGCUCCAAUAGCGUAUAUUAAAGUUGUUGCAGUUAAAAAGCUCGUAGUUGAAUUUCGGAGUUUGUCGGUUGGUCGGGCUUCACUGUCCGCACUGGCCUGAUGGAUUCCUACCUUCUGAAUAACCAGCAUGCUAUUAAUUUAGUGCGUUGGGGAAGCAGAGCUAUUACCUUGAAAAAUUAGAGUGCUUAAAGCAGGCUUACGCUUGAAUAGAUUAGCAUGGAAUAAUAAAAUAGGACGGCUUGGUUCUAUUUUGUUGGUUUCUAGGAUCACCGUAAUGAUUAAUAGGGAUAGUUGGGGGCAUUAGUGUUCAAUUGUCAGAGGUGAAAUUCUUGGAUUUAUUGAAGACUAACUUCUGCGAAAGCAUUUGCCAAGGAUGUUUUCAUUAAUCAAGAACGAAAGUUAGGGGAUCGAAGACGAUCAGAUACCGUCGUAGUCUUAACCAUAAACUAUGCCGACUAGGGAUCGGACGAUGUAAUUUUUUAAUGACUCGUUCGGCGCCUUA
rnacentral:rRNA from 1 species